GAUGAACGCUAGCGGCAGGCUUAACACAUGCAAGUCGAGGGGCAACACGGGUAGCAAUACCUGGUGGCGACCGGCGCAAGGGUGCGUAACGCGUGAGCAACAUGCCCUAUACAGGGGGAUAAUCCAGGGAAACUUGGUCUAAUAUCCCAUAGUAUUUAGAGGUGGCAUCACCACUAAAUUAAAGCUUCGGUGGUAUAGGAUUGGCUCGCGUGACAUUAGCUGGAUGGUGGGGUAACGGCUCACCAUGGCGAUGAUGUCUAGGGGUUCUGAGAGGAAGACCCCCCACACUGGGACUGAGACACGGCCCAGACUCCUACGGGAGGCAGCAGUGAGGAAUAUUGGACAAUGGAUGGAAAUCUGAUCCAGCCAUGCCGCGUGCAGGAAGACGGCCCUAUGGGUUGUAAACUGCUUUUAUAUGGGAGCAAUAAGGUUUACGCGUAGACCGAUGAGAGUACCAUAUGAAUAAGCAUCGGCUAACUCCGU
rnacentral:rRNA from 1 species